CCGCUAAGUUGUGCGUUCCAGGGUGCACUCGCCGGCGAGGCUGCACGGCGCCGGUUUCAUUGCUAAAAUCCGACGGACUUGUUGCAGAACUCGUUUUUUUUGUCGGGAAAGGGCUUCCCCGUGUAACUUUACAGCAGUUAUCGUAGAUAAGACUUGCAAAUUACAGAUGUGGACGGUGAGGGAACGGGAAUUUCACUGAAAGCGCCUGAGAACCAGUAAGAGACCUGCAACAGCUUUGUGCUCCACUGGCGAAUGCUUCCUCCCCUAAUACACAUUAUGUGUGCUUGGAGACACAAGGAGUAAGAUACAGCCCCUCAAGGGACUCGUCAUAGGGAGAGGACACAGCUUUGGGAAUAAAGGGGCCACAAAGGAGGAGAGAGGAGUUUGCUGAAACUUCCCAAGCUCCCAUUCCAGCAGUUCCUGAAGGAUUCAUUUCUCUCUGAGGAUCUCAUGAGGUGGCUUAGCAGCUAGAAUCUCUUCCUUAACAGUGGGAAGAACAACUCCUGGAAAUUUAGGUCGACUUUGACUGGAUUUAAAAGAAAGCUGUACAAUUCCACUUCUGUAUAUACAACCAAAGGAAAUGAGAUGUGCAUACCCAUGUUCAAUGAAGCAUUAUUCACAAUAGCCAAAAUGUGGAACCAAUCCUUAAACAAAAGGAAAACAGAAAAUCUGCUCAAGUGGGAAGAAACUAACCCUCAUUGAGUGCCUAGUUAACAUCAGGCACUUUGUACACAUAAUCAAUUGAAUCUUGACCACAACCCUGUGAGAUCCAUGGAUGAUUCUGGGUUUAGUUCUUUGUGAGACUGCCAGAAACUCCCAGAGGCUGGAUCUAUGCAUAAAGAGAGGCCAUUGGAGAGAAUGUCUACUGAAUUGCUGAAGACAAUUGCUACCGAGAAUAGAUCGUAACUUAGGAAGAAACAAUUCAGUACCAAAAGAGUAAUUGGAGCCCUUCUGGAAAACACUAGUAAGGUGAAAAAUGAGAAGAUUAAAUAAGCCAUGGGAAGAUUUUUUAAAAUGACAUGAAACUCCAAGGGUAAAAAGUAGGCUGGGAAAUCUUAGGAUGGUGAACCAUCAUGUUUCCUGAAUGUGAAUCCUGUACCUGGUUUGACUGUAGUCACCCCUUCUCCAACACUCUCCACGAUGCCGGCUGCCUCAUGGCCUAAAAUCACAGGAAGUGGGGUCACCAUGGUACCACUAACCACGUGGUCAUCUGUGCCACAGAUUCCUACAGCCACCAUCUACAGAGUGAAGAGAAGAUGUUUAUAAAAGAUUGUGAGUCUCAGGAUGUUCAACAUGAUCAAUGCCAAAUAAAUAUCAGAAUACUUGGAAGUAAAGUACUAAUAGUAGGAGUUCCUGAUUAUCAGGUGCCUAUGAUGUGACAGGCACAUUGUGGCCUGUGCUCGACCAGGAGACUGGUGAGUCCUUGUGGAUUUCUUCCCUGCUCAAGUGCAUAAAGCAGGUGUAUUGCAUAGCUUUUCCAGGCUGAGAUCAAAGACGGAGAUGUGCCUACCCGCAGAUCCUAGAUGGCCAUGUUUGCAACAGAGGUAAUGAUGAGCAGUGCGAAGAUGUGACUCCAAAGCCUGGAGAAGGACAGACCAGCAUCCCUGCAAGAGAUCCAACUGUCUUCUUUUCCGCAGAGGUCCAUAAUUUACAUGGGCCUGACAAAGAAUACUGUAACUUGCAGAAAUUAUCUUCAGUUCAAAUCCUUCAUUUUGGGGGUUAAAUAACUUGCCCAAGAUGUCGAGGGAGCGGAAAUACUUGCUGGUCUUGCAGCGGCUGUGGAGCCUGGAAUCCUGCCAAGAAGAGCAUGUGUGAGAGAUCAAAAUGUUUGCUUACAUUCCUCCUGUGAAGGGAGUUGGGAAAUAACCUAAGAAGCCCAAUCCAAAAACAAAGAUGUACCAUCCAGUCUUCUCUGUGAGAACCAAACUACAAACCAUCUGAAUGUUCCAAAAGUGUUUUGAUGAUGUAUUGAUGUAUUUUAAAUUAUCCUGAAAAUGUUCUUGGCAGAUGCUUAAACAUGUAAUUACUGAGAUGAUGUAGAAAUACCAAGUGUUUAUUAAAACAAUACAGAGUAAUACAAAUGGUAUGUUUGUCGCAAUAUAAAAGUAUCUAAAAAUUAAAGAGUUCUUUAAUGGU
rnacentral:lncRNA from 1 species